AUACUGUGAAACUGCGAAUGGCUCAUUAAAUCAGUUAUCGUUUAUUUGAUAGUACCUUACUACAUGGAUACCUGUGGUAAUUCUAGAGCUAAUACAUGCUAAAAACCCCGACUUCAGGAAGGGGUGUAUUUAUUAGAUAAAAAACCAACGCCCUUCGGGGCUCCUUGGUGAAUCAUAAUAACUUAACGAAUCGCAUGGCCUUGCGCCGGCGAUGGUUCAUUCAAAUUUCUGCCCUAUCAACUUUCGAUGGUAGGAUAGUGGCCUACCAUGGUGGCAACGGGUAACGGGGAAUUAGGGUUCGAUUCCGGAGAGGGAGCCUGAGAAACGGCUACCACAUCCAAGGAAGGCAGCAGGCGCGCAAAUUACCCAAUCCCGAUACGGGGAGGUAGUGACAAUAAAUACUGAUACGGGGCUCUUUUGGGUCUCGUAAUUGGAAUGAGAACAAUUUAAAUCCCUUAACGAGGAACAAUUGGAGGGCAAGUCUGGUGCCAGCAGCCGCGGUAAUUCCAGCUCCAAUAGCGUAUAUUAAAGUUGUUGCAGUUAAAAAGCUCGUAGUUGAACCUUGGCUCUGGCUGGCCGGUCCGCCUCACCGCGAGUACUGGUCCGGCUGGAGCUUUCCUUCUGGGGAACCUCAUGGCCUUCACUGGCUGUGGGGGGAACCAGGACUUUUACUGUGAAAAAAUUAGAGUGUUCAAAGCAGGCCUUUGCUCGAAUACAUUAGCAUGGAAUAAUAGAAUAGGACGUGCGGUUCUAUUUUGUUGGUUUCUAGGACCGCCGUAAUGAUUAAUAGGGAUAGUCGGGGGCGUCAGUAUUCAGCUGUCAGAGGUGAAAUUCUUGGAUUUGCUGAAGACUAACUACUGCGAAAGCAUUCGCCAAGGAUGUUUUCAUUAAUCAGGGAACGAAAGUUAGGGGAUCGAAGACGAUCAGAUACCGUCGUAGUCUUAACCAUAAACUAUGCCGACUAGGGAUCGGACGGGAUUCUAUUAUGACCCGUUCGGCACACUUACGAGAAAUCAAAGUUU
rnacentral:rRNA from 1 species